rnacentral:lncRNA from 1 species
CACACACACACACACACACACACAGAGAGAGAGAGAAAGAGCGAUAUAUACACACACACAGAGAGAGAAAGAGAGAUAUACACACACACACAGAGAGAGAGAUACACACACACACACACAUUUUGUGACAGAAAGACAUGUAAGCUUAGUGUGAGCUAGGUCAAUGAGGGAUGAGGAUGACAGGAUUCGUAGGCUACAGGGUGAAAAGUUCAACGUCUAAUUCAAUUGUAAAAUGAUUAGGCUAAAAUACGAUAUUUAACGACAAAUAACAUACAUUUUACUAAAGAGGUAAGGAAAAGGUAGUGUUUUAUGUCACACGAUUUCGCCAAAUUUGUGAAGAUUCCAAGCAAGAGAAAGGGUUUAAACAUAGGUUUUGAUUCACCUCAUGAAUUAUACUGAUGUCAUGUUCCCCCUUUAUAUUUGAAUGACUUUGUCACAGCUCUAAACAGUAAGACCAUUAACAUUACAAUACAUCCUAACUGGCACCCCAAAAUUACUCUUAUGUAAUCAACUGUUUCAUCAACAAGAAGCAUAAAAUAAAGAGCUCCGCCAUUUUUUAUCACCCGUCCUAUCGAACCUUUUCUAAAGAUACUGUCCUGGAAAACAAAUGUUUUGCCUCAAGUAUGCACUUCCACACAUUUUCGGGCAAUACUCUGGGCGUUCAUGUAGCUUCAUGGCUCCAUGGUGGCUCUACACUUGGCAUGGAGACUCCCAUGGUGGUGGUUCAGUCUGGAUGGGCUUGGUAGGCGUGGUGGAUAGUGGUGGUUCAGUCUGGGUGGGCUUGGUAGGUGUGGUGGAUAGUGGUGGUUCAGUCUGGGUGGGCUUGGUAGGUGUGGUGGAUAGUGGUGGUUCAGUCUGGGUGGGCUUGGUAGGCGUGGUGGAUAGUGGUGGUUCAGUCUGGAUGGACUUGGUAGGUGUGGUGGAUAGUGGUGGUUCAGUCUGGAUGGACUUGGUAGGCGUGGUGGAUAGUGGUGGUUCAGUCUGGAUGGACUUGGUAGGCGUGGUGGAUAGUGGUGGUUCAG